UCGCUUUCCCAAUUUUUCGUUCUAUCUAUCUUGCCUCCGCAUUAUUUAAAACUCAUUGUGGAAUUUAUGUCUCUGAGAAUGAAAUUUUAUCCGUUAUUGAGUUGUGUUUCGAGUGCCAUAGGCCGGUAUUCCAAGUGGGAUCGUUUCAUUGGCUACGAGGCGGAAUUCUAGUGGAAUUUUUGGAGCUAAACAAGUGAAUAGUUCCUUUUCCUUCUAACCGCCAAUAGCAAUCCACUGUUGGCAAUGUCGAAAUCGAUAUAAUUGUAAGAAAGCUCGAAUUUCUUUAUUUCUUCGCGUCGCUUUCUCAACUGUCUCUAAAAGUAAUUUCGAAAAACCUAACCUAAUAAGCGUUUGGCAAAAUUUAGUAAAGUUUCAUGAGAUCUGGCAAUGCUUAGUCUGGCUCGUUUAGCAGAGUUCGGCGAGAUCGCGAGACGUUUUGCAAGAUUUGGCAAAAGCUUUCAAGUUCUGGCGUGAUCCUGCGGGUUCAGGAAAUGUCUUGGCAAGAUCUGACGAGAUCUGGCAAGAGUCGGUGACAAUAAUGCUGACAUAUCGGGACAUGUGUGAAAAGUUGACAGCUUGCGUGUUUUUAUAAUCGCAUGAGUUGCACGUAGAUGGAGCCACAAUAAUAUUUGCUGGCCUUCCGAAGAUUUGUUCCUGUUACCUCUUUAAUCGCGAUAUGUGAAAAGGAUCUUCUGUCGAAGCUGGAUAUCGCUGGAUACAGCUGGACAUGAAAUGUCCACUACAAAACCAGAAUAAACUACGUUACUUUCUCCUCAGAUAUGUGACGAUACAUACGACGUAUUCGAUAACUCCAUCGACUCAUAAAAUGAUGCAAAUUUUCAGAAAUUUCCGUCAAUUUCCCAAAGGAAACAGUUUUAUCAGUUCGAAAACAAUUUCGCAAUAUAAUUUACGUCAUUUUGUGAUGUUCUUUAAAACGCAUCAAUACGAGUUCAAUAAUAUAAUAAGAAUGUAUAUGGGAAAUUUUGCUAGAUAGGUCAUAUUUCGUAUAAUAAAUCAACGUCUCGUUU